rnacentral:rRNA from 1 species
UUAUAUGGUCAAGUGAAUAAGCGUACAUGGCGGAUGCCUUGGCGAUUACAGGCGAUGAAGGACGUGGAAGUCUGCGAAAAGUUUCGGGGAGCUGGCAAUCAAGCUUUGAUCCGGAAAUGUCCGAAUGGGGAAACCCGCACAGGCUUAAAACCCUGUCAUCCUUUAACUGAAUAUAUAGGUUUAAGGAAGCGAACCUGGUGAACUGAAACAUCUAAGUAACCAGAGGAAAAGAAAUCAAUUGAGAUUCCCGCAGUAGUGGCGAGCGACCCGGGAAGAGCCGAUAUGUGAUAACUUAUUGUAUAGAAGAAUCAUCUGGAAAGAUGAGCCGUAGUGGGUGAUAGCCCCGUAUUUUAAAUACAGUAAGUGGUACUAGGCAUAUCAACAAGUAGGGCGGGACACGAG